CCCCAACGCAAGGAGCCUGGUUGACUUGGAUGGUCAAUGUUGGGAGGAAACAUGAUUGUCUGUCCCGUGUCACUGCUUGGCUUCCGAGCAGUUGGCUCGCUAGAGCCCCACAGCCCCCAAGCGGGAAUUGGAGUCUGAUGUCGGAAGAGGCAGAAAUUGUACCCAUUCCACAGAUGAGGUAGCAGAGGCUGGUAAAGGUUGAGCUCAAGUUCCAGGUUUGCUGGACUUUUCACUGGUGAAGACGGAGUGGGCGCUUCCAAGCACGCUGCACGUAGAACUGGACACUGCAAGUCCUCGAUCCAUGAUUUCUACACAUUUUUGCUUUAUUUUAAAGAAAUAGACGAGAACUCACUGACAACCCAUGACAGAGGUGAUUUAUGUAAGAAAAGCAACAAAGACUGUAUCCACAGAGCCCAUUCUUGGGAAAAGAAAAAAAGCUAUGGCCCAACAUGAACAGAUUGGCGAAUGAAUUUACAUGUGUGUUUUAAGAAAAAAUAGUAUAUAAGGGUUUAUGUAUGUAGAUUUUUAAAAAUCCCCUGCUUUCAUCGUUUGGAUUAGUUGAGUAGCCCCCGUAGGAGUGUCUGAUAUACAUUACACCAUCGACUUUGCAGAGUAAAGGUGCUCAUCGAGUGGCCUUCCGUGGGCUGCCCACGUCAUUUCUUCUUCACUCCUUUCCUGUUUGAAUCUGACUGCAUGUGGGAGAAAUGUGGGAUCCUGCCACACCAUGGUACUCAUAAACUCAGCCAUCCAAGCCCUCCCUCUCAGCCCGGGAGGACGAGCUAGAUUAGUCCCACCAAGCACCGUGGUGCCUCUUACCCGACCCACACUAAGGUCAGUGAGGCUGGCUUGGAAGGAAUGAAGAUGAACACGGGCGGGGAACGUGCCUCAAAACAUCGCAGAGGCAGCGCACAUCUCUGGAGCCAGGCCGCUUUGGUACAAACCCCGGCUCUUCCAGCCGUCGACGGCAUGCCACUUAAAUGCUCCCCAAUUCAGUUUCCCUCCUGAAGGUGUUCUCGCAGGACUCCCCGAGUUAAUGAACGUAAAGUGGUGAGAACAGCGUCUGGCCGCGGGUAAACAGCACACGUGUGAGCCAUCGUUACGAAUCAGGGCCAUUUUGCCUCUAAUUUGGUGUCAUCUGAGUGACUCUUACCCUAAAAGCAUAAAGUAAAAUAGCGCACUUCCCUUGAAGGCACGGACGUCCACUCACCUAUGAAUUAAGAAGGCAAGUGAGUGGGACUUUUGUUGCUGCAAGGACACAGCCUGGCUGACAAUGGAUGUUGGAGGAGAAGAUGGCUUCAGCCUGAUGCGAGGGUAGCGGUCCCCACUUACCUUCCAGGGAGGAGAAGAAAAAAAUGUCGUUUC